rnacentral:lncRNA from 1 species
UCAGAUUCUUUCGUUCUCAUCUGGGACAUCCAGGCUCUCUGAAACUUAAUUAUGCCUUUCCCCAGCUCUUCCCUGUUUUCCUGUUCUUUCCACAAAUUCAAAGAGAAAAGAAACAAGUACAGGCAUUGAAAAGUCUUUCUUUUUUUAAAAAAAAAGUAUGCUUGGAUGAAAUAGGUAUUUGAUUGCGUUUGUGAGGGACUGCAGUAUGGCUUCAUUUCCUUGGUGCGUUUGUAAAAUAGUUCACCCAUUGAAGACCAUGAAGGUUCUUUCCAAUGCUGCCCUGCUUUUGCUGGUGUCUUGCUCCUGGAAGUUGUGAUGCUAAAGGCUCAUCUUAUAUUUUCUACCCCAUUGACCAUUUCUCUAUUUGACUGUGCCACUUGGAGACCGUAUUUACAAACUGAGUAUUAUGAUGUAAUGACUGUGAUUUCACCUCCAGAAUUUGGAUGACUCUAGGACAUUGGCAAGAUCAGGUGGUAGACUUCUAG